UUUUUUUUGGGUAACUGAGAGCAAAAUUAGAAUUAAAUGAAUGAUCUUCUGUUAACAACGUUGGACGAGCGAUAAACAACACAACUUGAACAUACAACAGCAUUAUAAUGGCAGUAUCAAAGAGGGAGAUCCUCUCAUUGAUUGCAACAGUUGGCAGCUCUUGAAAGAAACCCCCCAAGUCAAUUCACUUCGUAUCCCCUUCAACUCUGCCUGCCACCCCGAUAAACAUCCAUUGCCUAUAGUUGGAGAGGCCCCCAAAAAUGGACCUAAAGUCCAAAGAAUCGAUAUCUAGUGAUGGUCAUCCUUUUGAAUUCUCAACAGAAUUCAGGUGACAAUGAGUCUUUAAUAUGCACUUUCAUUGGCACUGAUUCAUCUGCCAAUUCAACUCGUCAACAAGGUUUUUGAUGGUCUCUUCAAAUUUUUAAAUUUUUUUUGCCUGAGGCCCUGGCUUAACAACAUUGACAUCACCCCAUUGGGAACAAGGAUCAAUCAACCAGCUCCUCCGGCCAGUGCACCAAGCACCUGGUGCAGCUCGGUUAUGUCCACGUUUUAGGAUCUUCUCAUCAAUCAUUUCCAGUACAGGAUCAUUCCUCUUGAACUGUCUGGCAAAAGCAGCUCCACUUCGAACCAAUUCAUCAUAAUCAGAAACGUUCAAAAAAUGAGGUUCCAUCUUUGGAGGAUUGUCCCAGACCAUAUACCUUAGAUCACUGUUUACAGUAGUGUUUUUAAACUCUGGUGCAUUGCAAACAACAGAG
rnacentral:misc_RNA from 1 species